GAUGAACGCUGGCGGCGUGCCUAACACAUGCAAGUCGAGCGAUCUCUUCGGAGAGAGCGGCGGACGGGUGAGUAACGCGUGGGUAACCUGCCCUGUACACACGGAUAACAUACCGAAAGGUAUGCUAAUACGAGAUAAUAUGCUUUUAUCGCAUGGUAGAAGUAUCAAAGCUUUUGCGGUACAGGAUGGACCCGCGUCUGAUUAGCUAGUUGGUAAGGUAACGGCUUACCAAGGCGACGAUCAGUAGCCGACCUGAGAGGGUGAUCGGCCACAUUGGAACUGAGACACGGUCCAAACUCCUACGGGAGGCAGCAGUGGGGAAUAUUGCACAAUGGGCGAAAGCCUGAUGCAGCAACGCCGCGUGAGCGAUGAAGGCCUUCGGGUCGUAAAGCUCUGUCCUCAAGGAAGAUAAUGACGGUACUUGAGGAGGAAGCCCUGGCUAACUACGUGCCAGCCGCCGCAGUAA
rnacentral:rRNA from 1 species